rnacentral:rRNA from 1 species
AGAUCGAAUGGGGAGAUUCAGCGUCAGCUGCGUCGGCUUGGGUGUGGCUCGCGAUGCUCAGUUGCCUCGGCUGCUUCGGCUGUCGGUGGUUCUAUUGGGCACGCGGUCGCGCUCCAUGUCCGGCGUUUUUCAAACGCCGGCGUGCACUUCUCCCCUAGUAGGACGUCGCGACCCGUUGGGUGUUGGUCUACGGCCCGCGAGGUUGCCUGCGAGGUGCCGCGUGUCAAAGCGCGCGCCUCGCAGACCCGCGGUUUGCCCGGCCGACUGCCCGGCGGUAUAGAUCGCAUACAGGUAACGAGCCGCAUUUUUAAUGCGUUCCUAUUUUGAAUAUGGCUCGUCGGCAGGUGAGCCUCGCUCGGUAUUACGGACCUAGCGCCGUUGCCGGGUGUUCAGAUUGCUUCGCCGUUUCGCCGACGAUGUCCUCGGACGGGCUCAUUUAGUUGACGCGCUGGGUAACCGGCGCGUUCUACCGGUCGGCGACGCUACUGCUUUGGGUACUUUCAGGACCCGUCUUGAAACACGGACCAAGGAGUCUAACAUGUGCGCGAGUCAUUGGGACUGUUUUUUUUAAAACUAAGCCUAAAGGCGCAAUGAAAGUGAAGGUCCGCUUUUAUCAGCGCGACCGAGGGAGGAUGGCUCUCGUUACGACGCGGAGCCCGCACUCCCGGGGCGUCUCGUGCUCAUUGCGAGCUGAGGCGCACCCAGAGCGUACACGUUGGGACCCGAAAGAUGGUGAACUAUGCCUGGUCAGGACGAAGUCAGGGGAAACCCUGAUGGAGGUCCGUAGCGAUUCUGACGUGCAAAUCGAUCGUCGGAACUGGGUAUAGGGGCGAAAGACUAAUCGAACCAUC